rnacentral:misc_RNA from 1 species
GAUGAAGAACGUAGCGAAAUGCGAUAAGUAGUGUGAAUUGCAGAAUUCAGUGAAUCAUCGAAUCUUUGAACGCACAUUGCGCCCCUUGGUAUUCCAUGGGGCAUGCCUGUUCGAGCGUCAUUUGUACCUUCAAGCUCAGCUUGGUGUUGGGUGUCUGUCCCCGCCUCACCGCGGGGACUCGCCUCAAAAUCAUUGGCGGCCGGUACGUUGGCUUCGAGCGCAGCAGAAACGCGAACUCGAGGCCCGGCGGAUCGGCGACCAGAAGUCACUUCUUCACAGUUUGACCUCGGAUCAGGUAGGGAUACCCGCUGAACUUAAGCAUAUCAAUAAGCGGAGGA